GCCGCCUUAGCUCAGCCCAGCAGAGCGGCAGUUUCGUAAACUGCGGGUCCGGGGUUCGAAUGCCUGCGGUGGCU
rnacentral:tRNA from 1 species